UAUUGCACAAUGGGCGCAAGCCUGAUGCAGCCAUGCCGCGUGUGUGAAGAAGGCCUUCGGGUUGUAAAGCACUUUCAGUCAGGAGGAAAGGUUAGUAGUUAAUACCUGCUAGCUGUGACGUUACUGACAGAAGAAGCACCGGCUAACUCCGUGCCAGCAGCCGCGGUAAUACGGAGGGUGCGAGCGUUAAUCGGAAUUACUGGGCGUAAAGCGUACGCAGGCGGUUUGUUAAGCGAGAUGUGAAAGCCCCGGGCUCAACCUGGGAACUGCAUUUCGAACUGGCAAACUAGAGUGUGAUAGAGGGUGGUAGAAUUUCAGGUGUAGCGGUGAAAUGCGUAGAGAUUUGAAGGAAUACCGAUGGCGAAGGCAGCCACCUGGGUCAACACUACGCUCAGACGAAG
rnacentral:rRNA from 1 species